UCCGAUAUAGGUGUAAUGGCUAUCAUGGUCCGCUUUCACCGGGCAGAUUCGGGUUCGAUUCCCCGGUAUCGGAA
rnacentral:tRNA from 1 species